rnacentral:lncRNA from 1 species
AACACACUGGACCUUUGCAAAUUGCGAGGUUCGAGUGUUUGGAUGUAUUUCGAGCUUUUCCACACUUUGUGGAGGGUUGUAGAAUGUUUUCCGACCUAAAAAGUUCGAAAACUGGAAUUCUGGACAAGUCCUGAGAGUUUUGACUCUCGGGGACCGGUCCCUGGAAGGAGAGACCGGUCCCCCAGUGAACAGUGUUGCGGCAGCCCUGAGGCAACCGGUCCCUGGCGGGCGAGACCGGUCCCCGAGCGCGCCUUCGCAGAGAGAGACCGGUCCCACGCAGGGAGAGACCGGUUCCCGAACGAUGGUUUUUCGGGUUCGCAGCGAGAGACCGGUCCCUGCUGGGGAGAGACCGGUCCCUCUGGGCGAAAACUGCCCAGUUCGGGCUGAUGUAAAUUUGAAUUUUUGAGGGGCCUCUCCGGAUUUUGUUACACUAGAUGGGCUUAUUAGCCAUUUCCUCCUCUUCCCUCUCUCAUUUUCUCAUUCUCACCCUCUCCCUACACUUUCUAGAGAGAGAAGAAGAAGAAGAAGGAGGAGAAGAAGAAGAGGAGCUAGCUUGAGGGAGCUUGGAGCUCAACCCCUUUCUCUCUUUCCCACCUUUGCAAGGCUUGGAGCUUGCUUGUAGGGCUUGGUGGUGGACCAAUCUUCAACCCUAGAAGAUUUGGAGCUUGUUUUGAGGCAUCUAAAGAGGUUAGUACUUUGAUUCUACCCUUUGAUUCUUGUUUUGGUAGAUUUUGCCUCUUGGAACCCUAGAAAUGAGAUUUAGGGUUGAUUUUGGGGCUUUUUGAUUUAGGGCUUUUGAGGCUAGAUUGAUUGGAUUUGAACCUUCCUUGGACUUGGAUUGGAAGGGAUUUAGCUCUCUUUUGGAGCUUGAGAGAGAUUUUCCUCACAUUAGGUGAGUUUUAGCCCUUUUGCCAAGUUUGUUAAAGUUUGAUCUUAUAGUUGAUCGUAAUGCCCGUGUAUCUCUUCGCUGAUCACUUUUAGGGUAUCUUGAGGCACGUGGACAACUCCGUUCGGCGAAUCGAAGGAGCACGCGACUGUUCGGUGGGUUUGACCUAGCCUAUGAUAUGAGAAAUGCUCAUAUUUGGCAAAAUAUGUUUCGUAAAGUAGAAAUUCAUGCAUUUUCAUGUUAAAUGUAUUUAAUAUGAAUUUUAGAAUGCUUAACAUGCAUAUAUUAUGUAUAGUAAAAUUUUAGACCCCUAUGUGGU